AAGACUAUAGACCUGCGGAGUACCUGCGGAGGGAUCAUUACAGAGUUGCAAAACUCCCUAAACCAUUGUGAACGUUACCUAAACCGUUGCUUCGGCGGGCGGCGCGCCCUCGCGCGCGCCCCUGGGCCCCACCGCGGGCGCCCGCCGGAGGUCACCAAACUCUUGAUAUUAAUUGGCCUCUCUGAGUCUUCUGUACUGAAUAAGUCAAAACUUUCAGCAAUGGAUCUCUAGAUCGGAAGA
rnacentral:misc_RNA from 1 species